rnacentral:lncRNA from 1 species
UAAAUAUAGCAGAUAUGCCCGGAUUUCAAACACGGUUUAGCAACAGUCACACACACACAGUUUCAUGGACAGCUUCUUUCUUUCUGCAUUGUCUGCAGGAACAGGAACAGUGACUCUAAACGGCAAACAGUGGGAGCCGUUCCAGUAUCAAUAAGGAUUAUGACAAGGGAGCGAGUUUGUUUGCUUGGCUGCAAAGGCCUUGGAAUCCAGUGCAUUAGACACAAUUAUACACACUCCAUCUUCUGUGAGCGUCACUCCCAGCUGGCACGAGAGGUCUGAGACUGUCGGCACAUCAGGAAAAAUCCUCCUAAAAGCCUGGAGUGUGCAGGAUGAAUUCCCACCUUUGUUCUUGAGGGAACAGCACUAAGCACCACCAAAGGUAAAACGUGCUGCCUUUCCCUCGCAAAAUUCUGAACUGACUAUGGAAGGCCUCAGCUCAACCCCUGCAGGCAAGCAUCAGCAUCCUGGAAAUCACCACUCCAACUCUGCAGAGGGAUGUCAGCUCGUGAGAAGCGGUGCAGCGCGAAAGCUCUUGUGGCAGCUGUCUGUUAUGUCUGGGACGAUGGAAGUUAAAUUUGUUUGCUCACAGCUAUGCAAAUGCUGUCGCUGAUGUGCUGCUCCCUUAACCUGUCUCAUGUAUGUCUCUGGGUGUAACUUCCAGCGCUUAUUCCUCCAGGGGAUUCCUUUUGGUUUGUGGGUAUUUUUUUUUUUCUUUAUCUAAACAGGACUGGUGCCUUUCUGUCAACUUAAAGCAUGACCACCGACAAGAGGUAGCAAAUGAAAGCAGUGACAAUAUGGAGAGGAAGGGGCAAAGGCUGUGCAAAGAAAAACCAUGCAGAAGAAGGCCGGGUUUGCUUACAUUCCUCGUACCAGUGAAAGGACUCCUGUCCCUAGUCUGGACUCACUGA